AUCUUACACGAAGAUUCCCGCUAAGUAAAUGAUACAAUAAGCUCUUUCUCCCCCAUUUCCACCAUAUUGGUGCUGCAGUCUUCCGUCUCUUUUUAAUUUGUUCUUUUUUAUUCUCAGAACAGUAUGCUUCCCAUUGCGACUGCAAUUUUGCAAAACUAGACUCCAGAGAAGACCAAUGGUGCAUCUGAAUCUUCAAGACUUCCAGAACAGUUUGCAAGCCAGCUUUAGAAGGGACAGUAUUGCCUAAUUCGAAUUCAGAGCUUUCACCCAGCAGUACCUUAAUCACUGCAGUAGCAGAAGAUGAUAUGGAGCGUAGAUUAUAGCCGCCCUCAAGAAUUACGAGCAGCUUUCCCCUGCAGAUAGUAUACAACAUAUGAGUCAUCUGUGCAUAGCCAGCUGGAGUUACAUCACAACAGCCCAAAGGAUCACCCCUUGCUGCAUCUCAAAUCCAGCAGAUAUGAUGGUGAAAUCAGGCGCAAAUUCAGCAGCUAUAGGUAGCACAACAUGCUGAAAUGCAAAAAUGUAAUCAUUAUCGCCAACCCCUCCACGACUCCAUGGAAUAUUUACACAAUAUCCUGCUGCACCUUCAGUACCGAUCUCAUUAACUGCUCCAGUGCCAGGAUAAAACUUUCCUCCCUCGUGUCUAUGCAAGGAUAUGUACAAUACCGAUUUGUUCUGCUCAAAUAUUUCUUGAGUGCCAUUUCCAUGAUGAACAUCCCAGUCGACUAUUAGCACUUUCUUGGCACCAGCGACCUGAGCAGCUAAUGCAGCAAUUGCUGCAUUAUUGUGGAGGCAGAAUCCCAUUGCUUGUUUUAUACCAGCAUGAUGGCCAGGAGGUCGAACCAGAGCAAAACCAUUUUUGGCAGGUCCAGAAAAAAUUGCUGAAGCAAGAUCAGCACACAAUCCUGCUGCAAGCCUAGCAGCACAAGCUGAAUGCUCAUUAGCAUAUGUGUCAGGAGUGAAGUAGCUAGAGAAAAUACGGCUUGUAAGUUCUACAGCCUGAACAUGCUCCAAGGAAUGAACCAUCUGAAGUUCUUGUUGCGUAAUUUCUCUUGCAGGAAUUGGGUAGCAUCUUCCAGGAAAUAUACCAGCAGUGGCAAGGCUAGCAGCUAUAGCUCGCAGGCGAUCAGGUCUUUCUGGAUGCGGAUGUGACUUCAUUUCAAUUUCUGAAUGUAGCAACAUUCUUUCAUCAAAACCAACUGCUGUGCAACUGUUUGAGGAUGAAUAUUGUACAUAAGUGUCUUUGUUUCUCCCCUUCACUUGUGUCUGGACCUCAGUAACACCUGCAUCUUGUGAAAAUGGCGAAGCAAGAAAUCCAUGCCUCAAGAUACCAGAUUCUUUAUGUUCUCCACAUAUAUCACAAUGAACAACAUCAUUGAGAUUAACCAUCGUGCAGUUGGUACAAAACCACUUCAUGAUAUGCACACGCUUUUGUAGAGGCUCCCAAUCACUGUCAUCAUCGUCAUCAUCAAACAAGUCUUGGUUGUUGUACAUAUC
rnacentral:misc_RNA from 1 species